rnacentral:rRNA from 1 species
GGGUGCGUAACGCGUAUGCAACCUACCUCAUACUGGAGGAUAGCCCCUGGAAACGGGGAUUAAUACUCCAUAGUAUCACAAUUUCGCAUGUUAUUGUGAUUAAAGUUUUUCGGUAUGAGAUGGGCAUGCGUCCCAUUAGCUUGUUGGUGAGGUAACGGCUCACCAAGGCAACGAUGGGUAGGGGGCCUGAGAGGGUGGUCCCCCACACUGGUACUGAGACACGGACCAGACUCCUACGGGAGGCAGCAGUGAGGAAUAUUGGUCAAUGGAGGAAACUCUGAACCAGCCAUGCCGCGUGAAGGAUGACGGCCCUAUGGGUUGUAAACUUCUUUUAUAGAGGAAGAAACUUGUCUACGUGUGGACAACUGACGGUACUCUACGAAUAAGGAUCGGCUAACUCCGUGCCAGCAGCCGCGGUAAUACGGAGGAUCCAAGCGUUAUCCGGAUUCAUUGGGUUUAAAGGGUCCGUAGGCGGAUUUUUAAGUCAGUGGUGAAAGCCGACAGCUCAACUGUCGAACUGCCAUUGAUACUGGAAAUCUUGAGUACAAAUGAAGUAGGCGGAAUGAGUCAUGUAGCGGUGAAAUGCAUAGAUAUGACUCAGAACACCGAUUGCGAAGGCAGCUUACUAACAUGUAACUGACGCUGAGGGACGAAAGCGUGGGGGAGCGAACAGGAUUAGAUACCCUGGUAGUCCACGCCGUAAACGAUCAUCACUCGCUGUUGGCGAUAUACUGUC